rnacentral:rRNA from 1 species
UACGUAGGGGGCAAGCGUUAUCCGGAAUUACUGGGUGUAAAGGGUGAGUAGGCGGCAUGGCAAGUUAGAUGUGAAAGCCCGGGGCUUAACUCCGGGAUUGCAUUUAAAACUGCUAAGCUUGAGUACAGGAGAGGUAAGCGGAAUUCCUAGUGUAGCGGUGAAAUGCGUAGAUAUUAGGAAGAACACCGGUGGCGAAGGCGGCUUACUGGACUGAAACUGACGCUGAGGCACGAAAGCGUGGGGAGCAAACAGGAUUAGAUACCCUGGUAGUCCACGCUGUAAACGAUGAGUGCUAGGUGUUGGGGGGGAACCCUCAGUGCCGCAGCUAACGCAAUAAGCACUCCACCUGGGGAGUACGGCCGCAAGGUUGAA